CUGGCUACCGCGCCUGGAGUUGGCGGCUAGUGUGAGGAGGUGGAGACAGGACAGGAACAUCCCCAGACCUCCGUUCCAGCGUAUUCAUGCAGAGGACCGUAGAUAGGUGUUUUUGAAGAAAAGCAUAUUUUCCUUAGGACUCCCCAAAUUGUUAACACGAAUGGAAAUUUAUGACCACAGGAAGCAGGAUAUAUAGAAUGGAAAUACUGACGGAGAUGACCUAAAACGAAUCCGGAGUACUGAAAAUCUUCGUAAACGUCCUAGGACCUUUACAUUUAGGGACUCUGGAACUUAUCUGUGAUCUAAUUCCCUUUUUUAUUUCAAAAGAUGAAAAACUCAUCUGCACAAGCCUUUCCAGGAAGGGGACUGGGUGGAGGUGGUGGGGAGGCACCAGUUACCUUCCUAUACCCCGAGGGGCAACUAGAAGUUCCAUCUGCUCCACUUUUCGGGACCCAAACGUUAAAGGUCCUUCAAGUUCCAGCUCAGAGGCUCCUCCACCAGAGCGCCGAGAACCCGGCCCCACUCUUUCCUCCCCUCCAGCGCUGAGGCCACUGGACGCGAGGUCAGCCCCGUUGGCGUUUGGCCCUCACGCCAGCGCUUCACUGACUCGGCCACGUCCCGCCAGCGCCGCGACUACACUACGAGUCCGCGACGCUGUGCAAACCUCCGCCUGAGGCCCGCAGCCACCCACCUGAAGAGAUCCAGAGCUGAAAGAGUUAAAUUGUGUGGAGCUUCUGCUAACUUGCUUUUCUGUAACUGCUCUGCUGCUUUGCGGGUUGAACCUUGAGAAACAGGAGCAUGGCCUUCCCCUUGUGUUCCCCUCCAUUCUCCCGAGGCCCCACAUCCUAAGCACGGUCCCUGCUUAAGAGAUGUCCUUGAAUUAUGCUUGUGGUUAACAAAGAAGAGAACUGUCUUGUCCUAGUUUCACAGCCUCCCAGCUACACCCGGACGGUAAGAUAUGGCUAACUGAAAAAUGUAAACUGUGCAGGGCAUACCAGGAACUGUAACUGUGUAGAGAGGUCACUGUGAUUGUGGCUUUGUACCAAGCCUUUGUCUAAAAACGAUAUAAAACCCCAUACUCCCUUGGAUCGGGGCUCUCAGCCUCUGCCUGAUCUUCGGGUAUGUUGCAGAGCCCCAGCAUGCUGGAACAAUAAAGCCCGUGCUGUUGCAGAAA